UUUUCUUUGGGUCUCCUCUGGUUCACGGUCUUUUUUCUUCCUCGGAUCUUUGCACCUCUGUAUAUUUCCAUCUUCGCCGUCACUCCCGUGACUGCAGAUCCUUGGUUGCAGGGAUGGUUUAUGGGUUGGUGACUAGUGUUGUAUUACAGACGCACUCGUUUACCCGGAGCACGGAAUUUGCUGGCAGUUUCUCUUAGUGCCUCACCUGUUGCUGCUGUGAACGAUUUGGGAAGGUUUCAUUCACUUCCAUCCCUAGAUAGGAAGAGGUGCCUCUGGGAAGAGCGGAUGGAAUUGCUCUAAGGCAAUGCUUCCCUCCCAGGCAGCAGGCCCAGGAGCCCACGGGGGUAAACAGGAGCGAGCUGCCCAGUGGACACGUUGCUCACAUCACGUUUGUAGUUUGAGAAUCUACUGGCAAAACUGGGAGGUGGUUUCCUGUCACCCUGGGACACUGGAACACCAGGCUGCAGGCCUGUGGGCCGAAGCUGACCAACUCCCCAACCGUGAUUGUGAUGGUGGGGCUCCCAGCCCGGGGUAAGACUUACAUCUCCAAGAAGCUGACUCGCUACCUCAACUGGAUAGGUGUUCCAACGAAAG
rnacentral:lncRNA from 1 species